AAUUCAUUAACCAAUCGGUUGGACGUAAUGACUAAAUAGCCCAUAAGAAAUAUAGACAGAAAAAAAGGGAAAAUAAACGUGAAAAUUACCAAAUCUAAGCAUUCUCAAUUUAUGAAAUGCUUGGUCUUUUAGUUGGAAUUGUGCUGUACUGGUGCGACCGAGCUUCGAAAUCGGCGAAGGAAAAAACUCAAAAGAAGCAAACGUCUACCGUUUCACGAAAGAAGAGUAAAAAAACUGCAUCGAAAAAAAAUUCUGGAAAUUCAAAAGCAUUAAUUGUAAAAAAAAAUUAAGUACUAUUCUUUUGCAUGUACUGCUCGAUUCAAUGUUUAAUGACACUCCUUUCAUCAAUCUGUUCAUCUCCACUCUACAAUCUAUUUAUUCAUUUGAUACAUACUCUCAUAUAGGAUUUUGAAAAAUAUACUCAUUACUAUACAAUAUUAUAAUUAAGGGAGAAUAAAAAAGAAAUAAAAAAAACCAAAGGAGCCAGUUCAAGUAGGAAUUACUUGUGCAAAAGCCCUUCAAGUACUAGUAAAAGUAACUAGUAGAGAAUGACUUGGCUGCAUCUAAAACAUCCUUAAAGUUCAGGCAUAACGAAAACAAUAACAGCAAAGAAAAAGAAAGACGCAAAAAGUUCAAAAGGAAAAAGAACCAAACAUGGUUUAGAAGCGAGAAACAACCAAAAAAAGUAUUGCGGGGUUGUAAAAAAAGAAAGGUCCUUUACAACUUUUCAAUGUCUUUCCCUUCAUCCUCUUUCAAAAUGUUUUACUUGACGACUGACUUUACAGCUCCUGACUAGGCUUUCCAGUGCGACCAGAAGUUUUGGGCAAAAGAUGGGCGUUGAUGUUGGGAACAACACCACCUUGAGCAAUGGUAACGUGACCAAGAAGUUUGUUCAACUCUUCAUCGUUACGGAUGGCGAGUUGAAGAUGACGGGGAAUGAUACGAGUCUUCUUGUUGUCACGAGCAGCGUUUCCAGCCAAUUCGAGAAUUUCAGCAGCCAAAUAUUCCAAAACGGCGGCCAAGUAAACGGGAGCACCAGCACCAACACGUUGAGCAUAGUUACCCUUACGUAACAAACGAUGGACACGACCAACGGGGAAAGCCAAACCGGCCUUGGCAGAACGGGAUUGAGCAGAUUUGGCAACAGCAGCCUUACCACCAGAUUUACCUCCAGACAUGACGAAAAAUACUGAAACUAAAUAAAAAAAAUAAAAGUUUGAGUUAAAAAAAAAAGAUUUUUCCUUCUUUAAUGAAAAAAGAUAACAGUCAACGAUGAAGCAGCGAAUGGAUCAAAUUUGGUGAAAUUAACAGAAUUUUCUCGCAAUUUCAGCCUUUACGGACAAUCAAUCUCCUUAUCAACUAAGGAUCAAUUGUUUAUAUCAAUUUCAAUACGUGUAUGGAUCAAAAGGUAUCCUAAACAACGAAAAGUCGCGAUAUAGGGAAAAGGAGACAUAGGAGCGCGCACCCUUCAUAUAUAUACUAAUUCUAAUCUUCCGUAUAAGCACGUCUAACGCGUUCUUGUAGAUGACGUUUCCGCGUCGCAUGGCUAAACACCAGGGUUAGGGUUGUGAUGCCCAAGUUGUAUAUAACCAUCGCGUCGCCUGCAGGCAUGUUAGUUAA